CCAGGCUGUGGCUCUCACCUCAGUGCAGUUGGUACAGUCCGACUCGCCGUCCGCCGCCCGGAUAAAUGGGAGCCGCACCAAGACCACGCCCCCCUACCGUCUCCGCCCACAACUGUUCCGCCCUCCCGUGAGCGCCGCCUCCUGGCGGCAGGACUUAGCUCCAGCCAGAGGCUGCAGGAGCGCUAGAAGAAAGCUUCUGAAUGUACCCUGGGGCUUCUGGUUCCCUUCCAGGAGUGUGCACGUAAAUCAUACAUACAGUCUCCUCCGUUCCCUUCAGCCCGGCGAGGGAAGGCACUAUAAAUUGUGAACACUGUGAAGGGCUUAAUUGUAUAGCAUAGAUAAUUAAUAGAAUGGAACUAGAGGUGCCGCCUUUCUUGCCUAGCAUGUAUAAAGCCCUGGUGGGAGGGGAGAAAAUAUGAAGCAUAGUAGGAUUAGGGGUAGUAAUGCAAGAGGACUGGCCAGUGUCAAUAAAAUAUUAAGGAGGGCCGGAGAGAUGGCUCAGCUGUUAAAAGCACUGACUGCUCUUUCAGAAGUCCUGAGUUCAAAUCCCAGCAACCACAUGGUGGCUCACAACCAUCUCUAAUAGGAUCUGAUGUCCUCUUCUGGUGUCUGAACAUAGCUACAGUGUACUUAUAUAUAAUAAAUAAUUAAAUCUUUAAUGAUUUAUUUAAAAAAAAAGUGUUAAAGAGGACCAUAGAGCUGAAGGGGAAAAUUCAGACCACAAAACUGAGACUGACCUAGAGGCUGAGGGGCUCAGAGGGCACUGAGGUACUGAAUGGGUGGCAAAACUGGCUCACUGAACUCAACUGUCCAUUUUGUGGUCAAGGGAACACUGUGGCUCAGAAGAGAUGAUCUUGAUAGGAAUAGAAGACAGACUGUUGAUUUACUGAGAAAGUGGAUGUGAGUGGGCAGGGAGGAGGGAAAAGAGAAAUAUGAAGGUGAGAAGAUAGGAGUCUACUUAGAAGGGAGAAGCUACGGUUAUCCCCAGAGAGCAGAAGGACAAAAGGCUGCCUUGGAGAUAAAAUGUGGUGGUGGUAGGGACCAGCAUUAGAACCUGAGAUUUUCAGUGUUAAACAGUUCAGAGAUUCUGCAAAGAAACCCAGGGGUGAGGGGCUGAAGAAAACAAGGAAAGGAGAAGCAAGCACAUGCAUCAGGAAGGGAUCUGGGGCUGGACAUGGUGGCACAGCCUUUAAUCUCAGGACGAGACAGGUGAACCUCUGUGAGUUAGGCUAGCCUGGUACACAUAGUAAGUUCCAGGACAUCCCAGGCUACGAAAGAAAAAAAAAAAAGACUUGGGAGCAACGGAGAUGGCUAGGAUGGUGCUUGGGUAGCCCAGAGCCAUGAACUCAUCUCCAGCACAGAAUAAACUAGAUUUGGAAAUACAGGCAAGAUUAUAUAGAAGGUCAGCCUUAGGCUACAGAGGAUGGCUCAGCAGUUAAGAGCCCUGACUGCUCUCCCAGAGGUCCUGAGUGCAAUCCCCAGCAACCACAUGGUGGCUCACAACCAUCUGUCAUGGGAUCUGAUGCCUUCCUCUGGUGUGUCUGAAGACAGAGACAGUGAACUCACAUACAUUAAAUAAAUAAAUAAAUAAAUAAAUACAGUCUUUUCUUAAAAAAAAAGUUCAUCCUUGAUUACACAGGGAAUUCAAAACAGUCUAGACUACAUGAGACUCUUAAGGCUACUGAGGCUCUGACUGUAUCAGCCCUGCCAAGGCACAAAGAGUGUCGGGAGGAAGCAUAGUGAAACUAGGAAGGUUGAACACGUGAAGCCAGCAUAGUAACUAUGCGGUAAAUUUGCUGGGAAGGGAGUGAUAAGUAGGUAGCUAAGAAGAGGCAAUUCAAGGAAGUUUAAAAAGAAAUAUUGUGGGCUGGAGAGAUGGCUCAGAGGUUAAGAGCACUGACUGCUCUUCCAGAGGUCCUGAGUUCAAUUCCCAGCAACCACAUGGUGGCUCACAUCUAGACUACCAUCUGUAAUGACAUCUGGUGCCCUCUUCUGGCCUGAAGCCAUACAUGCAGACAGAACUCAGUAUACAUAAUCUUUUUUUUUUUUUUUUUUUAAAGGGGAAAUAACAAUAUUCCUAAUAGUGGGUCUAGAGAGGUGGUUGCUGCUUUUCCAGAGAACCAGAGUUCAAUCCCCAGCACCCACAUGGUGGCUCACAACCUUCUUCAACUCCAGCUCCGAGAGAUUCAAAGCCUCUGGCCUCUGAGGGCACCUGCUCUUGUUUCUAUACCCACAUACAAACACAAAACUAAAAAUACUUCUUAAAAUAUUGCUACUGCUUGGAUGUACAGAAAAAAAGGAUGGUGUCAGAGACAGUUCUCUUGGAACACAUCCUGCCCUCUCCUUCCUGUGGGCCAUCCAGUUGCAUCUGGACGGAGGAGGCUUUGGAUUCAGGUACUUUUUGACCCUCAGGUGUGUAGGUGAGUUUCUCAUCCUUUUGUGUCUUGGUGUCCUUUGCUGUACGAUAGGGAUGGAUGUUGACCAUGCUUGCUGUAGAGGCCACUGUAGAUACUGGUUGGGUAAAUACAGGGAGAAAGCUUCAUUUUGGGUUCAGCAUGAUAAAAAGGGGGUGGGACCUGAAACAAAUGCCUCCUCUUCCCUCCCAGCUUGGAUCUCUACAUAUAUUGGUUUGUCUGCACAAACAUUGCCUACCUGGUGGAGAUCAUCAGAUAGGGGAGCACUUGUAAGCACCCACUGAAUCUUCUGGAAAGGAGAAAGACUAGCUGCCCGUAAAGCUCCUGAAGCCCCCGUAGACAAAAGCCAGACCCUUUUACCUACCUUCCCCUGCAGCUGCCUUUAUUGCGGGAAGAAGCUGCGGAAAAAGAGAAACGUAUAUAAUAAUAAACAAAUGCAGCCACAGUGACACAUGAAGAAUUCUUCCUCAGCAUCUCUGAGCCAUACACAACUUCUACAGCCAUGUCAACCCACGCUUAUCAAGCGUGGGAGGGAAGGUGCCAAGGAGUUGUCCAUUGCCAAACCAGGCCAAACCUAGCAUAGGUGGUACAUUUUUUUUUGACAUAGGGUCUCUUGUAAUCCAAGCUGCCCUUAAACAUGCCGUGUAGCCAAGGAUAGCCUUAAACUCCCAAUCCUUCUGCCUCUACCUGUAAAGUGCAAGUGACACAGGUAUGGACCAAUCAUGUCUAGCAGUAGUACCCCUUGAGAACAUAGACACUUAUCCCACCAGCUGAUGUACUCUCCCCCAAAACAAAAAACCCUGGUGAUAUAAAACAACUCCUCACCUCUCCCCACACACACUGAUGACCAGCACAGUCUCUAUUGUGUAUACCCCACCCUCACAUCAAUGCUAUGACUCAUGCAUGCUAAUGGUGUUGCCUACUGGUCAUUUCUUACGUAUUCCUGCUAGUGUGCACAUAGGAAUACGACCUGCUCACAUAGGCCUGCACCAGGAGGUGCCUACUGGAUUCCUAAUGUAUGCUGGCACUCACUGGUCCUAAUGCAUGCAUGAAAAGAUAGACAUAGAAAUGACAUAUGUGUUCUUGACAUGUAUUGAAGUGUGUAAUUAAUUAAGCUGUGUGUUCCCUCUAUUCUAUCCAGCCUCUUCCAGAGGAUUUAGCUCCUUCCCCUGUCAUCUGAACAGUAAGCUUUUCUGCCCUACCUGAUACCUAGCAAUAAGAAUGCCCAACAGCGCCAAAUAGUGGUAGAUCACACCUUUAAUCCCAGCACUCAGGAGUCAGAGGCAGGCAGAUCUCUUUGAGUUUCCAGGCCAGCCUGGUCUACAAUGAUAGUUCCAGAACAGGUGGAGCUGUUACACAGAGAAACCCUGUCUCAUAAAACCAAAGUGGAGGGAAACAAAAAACAAAAAAUAAAAAACAGGAGAAGAAGAAUGCUGACCCACAGGAUUUCCAAAGGAAGCUGAAGCAAGGGUAGAAGUGAACAAGGAGUUAAGGCAAGGCAGUUGUGUACUUUGUCUACAAAUUGGGUAGCUUAAUGGAACAGAAUUUAUCCUUUCGUAGUUCUGGGCACCAGAGGUCAGAAUUAGUUAAGCCAGGCCAACAAGGUCAUGCUUUCUACCUAGAUAUGGAAGAGUAUUUCCUGUCUUUCUCAGCUGGGGGCUCCAGGCUGCCCUUGACUUUAGCGGCAUUUUAGUUCCUUUUUUUUUUUUAAAGAUUUAUUUAUUAUAUAUAAGUACACUGUUGCUGUCUUGAGACACACCAGAAGAGGACAUCAGAUCUCAUUACAGAUGGUUGUGAGCCACCAUGUGGUUGCUGGGAAUUGAACUCAGGACCUCUACCUUAAUUUUUUUUUCUUUUUUUUUUUUUUCCAGAACUGGGGACUGAACCCAGGGCCUUGCGCUUGCUAGGCAAGUGCUCUACCACUGAGCUAAAUCCCCAACCCCUGAACUCAGGACCUCUAGAAGAGCAGUCAGUACACUUAACCACUGAGCCAUCUCUCCAGCCCAGUAUUAUAUUUCCUUGUGAACGUUUUUCUGUGCCUGUGUUCUCUGUAUAGCCAUUUAUUAGGACACUGUCAUUGGAUUUAGGGCCUGCCAGUUAAUUCAUAAUGAUUUCAAAUAUCCAUUCUCAGUCUUGCAUGCUGGAGUAUAAAUGUGUGUGUGUGUGUGUGUGUGUGUGUGUGUGUGUGUGUGUGUGUGUGCUUGCCUUCAAGUUAAUCUGUGUAUCAUAUAUGUGCCGGAUCCCCACAGAAGCCAGAAGAGUGAACUGAAUCCCCUAAAAUUAGAGUCAUAAUUCUGAGCCACUUGGUCAGUGCCGAGAAUUAAAUCCAGGUCCUCUGAAGAGAAGUAAAUCAACUGAUCCCUUCAGCCCCAGCUAUACACUUUUAAUUCUGGCACUUGGGUGACAAAGACAAGUGGAUCUUUGUGAAUUUAAAGACAGCUAGUCUACAUGGUGAGUUCUAGGCCAGUCAGGUACAAUGAAAUGUCUAAAAAUAAUAAGGGGGAAAAUUUUUUAUCUUAACCAUCGCAAAGACUCCCCCACCCAUGUUUCUUUUGCAAAGUCACAAUUAAAGUCCACAAUAGGAUUUGAACAAAUAUUUUGUACAGUACCAUAUAUCCACCACACAGGACGAUAAAGACGAUAAGGACUAUACUUCAGAUGGGAAGUUCUGAGGGACAGGUGGGAAAAACAUUCUGGCCAAGGCAGGAAGGAACUAAGCUUCUCCCUAUCUCUCCCUAAUCCCUGACAUCUUUCCUCUGAACCUAGGCCUUACCCUCAAGAUGUGAAUCUUCUCAGGAUUCCCAAUAAUUCCUUGAAGUUCCUUCAGGAUCCACAUAAUCAAAGCCUUUGUCUUUUGUUCUCUGUCUCUCUCUCAGAAGGUUGGCCUGAAAUUUGCAUCAUAUCCUGUUCCUGCCUCUAAUCAAGGUUAUAGGGGUAUAAUCUCUCUGCUGUUCUAACAGGGGUCCAUCAGGACAUCUAACUUGAUUCUUCAAUUUCUGACCCUCUGUGGAAACUGAGUCAGCUCCUGGCUUCUCUGUGUCCCUAGAUGGCCACAACACCAAACAUUCUGCAUAUGAAUUUAUCCUCUGGCUCCAAGUCAGGUCUGGGCUAGGUCAGAUACAUCCUUAGUAAGGCCUCAGUACUUAGCUGCCUAGGCUGUGUGUCUGACAUCUGGCUGACUCCAGCCCAGACUUUAUAAGAUUCAGGACAUAUGAAGGCCAAAGAAACAGGGAGGACAAAAGCAGGGGAAAGAAUUGAGGGUCAGGAGGCUAAUCUGAGGAGGCUGGCCCCUAAGCCACAGACCAAUAUCUGUGCUAGACAAAGGUGACCUUUGGAGUUGCUUGGAGCAAGGAAAGAUUGUUUCCCUAGGAGGACAUCUCUGAGGACGGUGUGAAAGACUAGUUGAGGUAGACAGGAAAGGGGAAAGAUGACCUCUGCCUCAGAAGCAAGAGAGCAGCUGAUGCAUUUUUUUUUUUUUAAGAUUUAUUUAUUUUGUGCAUGUGAGUACAUUGUAGCUGUCUUCAGACAUACCAGAAGAGGACAUCAGAUCCCAUUACAGAUGGUUGUGAGCCACCAUGUGGUUGCUGGGAAUUGAACUCAGGACUUUUGGAAGUCAGUGCUCUUAACCACUGAGCCAUCUCUCCAGCCCCGCAGCUGCUGCAUCUUAUUGAGUGAUUGAGAGCUAAAUGCCCUAUGUUUUCUCCACAGGAACAACCUGGGGUGAUGGAAGUGUGUAGGGAAGGAGGUCUCUUCUGGCUGCACCUCCAUCGCACUGCUUUGGCUCUCCUCCUAGGAGUCCAAUAAAUGACCUUGGAACUUUGGUCUAUUUCUCAAAAGACAGGGGCAAGCCCUUUGAGAGCCCAGCGCUCAACGGGACUCUCCCUCCAAGAAUAGAUCGCUUACACGGAGUGGAGCGACAAAGGCAAAUCUCACCGUAGAGAAGGGAGUCCCCGAGGCCAAACCCCUAAGAGCUCCAGGCAAGUCAGAGACAGAACCCCUUCUCACAGCCAGAUGGACACAUAUCUUUCAGGAUCUACAGGGUCUGGAGAAAGGCAGAGGCGUACGUGCCUCCCGAGGGCACGGUGUCCCUGGCCUUCCAGGCCACCCCUGGGCCAUUGCCAGGAAUACGUGCGCCUGGAGAGUUGUGAGUUCCCGAAGAGGAGCAGUUCUUCGACUGGGUAGGGGAAUAACUGACCCGCCUAAACUUCAGUCUGGGAGGCGGGGCUGUUGCUUCUUUGCCUCAAAGGGCCUCCCUUGCCCAGCUGUCUCAUUGCGCUGCCCCGGUGAAGCAUCCCACUAUCAGGGACCAGAGCCAACUCAACCCAAAUGCAGAAAGCCUGGGCCGUACCACCGCUCGAGGGAAGGACAUGCCUUGGAUUGUACCAACGCCCAAUCACAGGGAGACACUGUCCAGCGAGGCCGCCCUGCAGGCCCCGCCCAGCAGGUGGCAGCCCCUCCCCAAGCCGACGUGCAGAAAAGAACGCGCCGGCCUCGCCCGCGAAGGGUUGCUCGGCGGCGGGCGGGGUGUGAUGCCUCCCCCUCGUGUUCACUGGCUGCAGCCCUGCAGGGUGGGCCCUACUAGACCGGCUAUUGGCUGCAAGAUAGGUUAUUUGCAUAUGGGGCGGGGUAACCGGACCCAAUUGGGGCCCGCCUUGGGUGUGAGUGUGGCCACUGCCGCCACUGAAGUUGAUCCAAGAGCUGGCUAUGGCCCUGCGCCGGGGUCGCAGGUUCCAGGUUGUGCAGUCCCAAGAAGAGCCACUGUCGAAGUCAUCAAGCCCAGAAACUCUGGGCAGGCACAGAUGUGAGCCUCAGCCAACAGAACCAGAGCCUACAGGACCCACCUCCUGAGGGCCAACUCCAGGAAGACAGUGGCAGCUUGAAUGUUUCUGCCUGUUUCUGCCACUUUCAGUGAGGGCGUCAGUACCAUGGAUCUCACAGGCUCCUGGGACAGGCCUUUCCUGUCCACCUGAAAGUGGAAAAGGUUAUCCAGGGAAGCUAUAGUCCAGGACAUCUGUAGCCAGUCCAGUCCCUGAAGAUGGAGGUUUAGUUUCUAGACUGACAUUGGCAUCAAACUGAGAGUGCUCUGCAGAUGGGGAGGGUUAUGGAGCCUCUGGGUGGAGAAACUGUGAAGCUGACUGUUGUUGGUGAGCUACUUGCUGGAGAGAUCCUCUGAACUAGGGUUUUUUUUUACUUCUUUGCUAAAAAACAACAAGGCCACUGAGACUAGGUGGGAGCCUAGCAGAGCCUGGCCCUGACCUCUGGCUGGAUUGCCUAGACAAGGCUACCUCACACUGACAGCUGGUAAGGUCCUUACAUCAUUCCGCCAGGUCCUGCCCUGCCAGGGACCAGACAUUUGUGGGCAGCUUGUCUGUUCUUUGCUUCAGCAUACAUCACACCAUUGUUUCCAAAGUAAAGUUACAAAAUUGCAAA